AAUGAAUGGAUUGCCCAAAUCCCAUCAUCUGUUUUAACAUAUGCAUAUAUACAUACAUACAUACAUACAUACAUAUAUAUAUAAAUUAUAAUUGUUUGAUGAUCAUGAUCUUUAUAUCUCGUCUUGGAUUUCAGUUUAAUGCAUCUUGCAUUUUGAUAUUUGCAGGUAGAGGGAGGAAGUGAAGUGAGGACUGCAUUAAUGGAGCACAGAAGUGGAGUUUAGAAGGUGAAGAUCUUGCUCAAGACCGCGCACUUUGCUGCUGAAACCCUGCAUCAGGUUUUUGGUGUAUCAUAAUUAACCCUAGCUAUUACAAGAAGAAGAGGAAGAAGAAGAAGAAGAAGAAGAUAGGCCAAAACCUUGAUGCGGGUCUUCAUACAAUAGGUUGCGUGGUCUUGUACAGCAAGAUCUUGCUCCUGCAUCAAUGGGAGAUCCAGGAACACAGACGAAUCCAUCAGUAGACUUGGUCUAUUCCAUCAUAACGGCAGAAACAACGUGCUGACGCUGAAUCCCAAUCAAACAAAAAUUAAACCCAGGGGGCUAUCUUUGGACUGAUCGUCUUCUCCAAUUACAACAGAUGCCGGCGUUGAUAUUCAGAGUCGCGAGUAUUCGUAGCUCUCUAUUCGCACCCAUAAAUCUCCCCCAUUUUCUCUCUUCCAAACCUACCGCUCUUUCUUUGUUCUCAACUCUCCGGACCAGAUCGCAAAUGGAGUCCUACGCCACGUCCUCUGGGUCCUCCAAGCUUCUCUUUCGCCAACUCUUUGAGAAGGAAUCAUGUACUUACACUUACCUUCUCGCCGAUGUCUCUCACCCGGAUAAACCCGCCUUGUUGAUUGACCCUGUAGACAAGAUGGUUGAUAGAGAUUUGAAUCUUAUAAAUGAACUGGGAUUGAAGCUUGUCUAUGCCAUGAACACCCAUGUCCAUGCUGAUCAUAUAACUGGAACCGGGCUUAUUAAGACUAAGGUUCCAGGUGUAAAAUCUGUUAUUUCUAAAGCAAGCGCUUCAAAAGCUGAUGUGUUUCUUGAACCUGGGGAUAAAGUCACGUUUGGUGAUCUCUUCCUGGAGGCCCGUCCUACUCCUGGCCAUACAAUAGGUUGUCUUACCUAUGUUACUGGAGAUGGAGCCGAUCAGCCUCAGCCAAGGAUGGCAUUCACAGGAGACACUUUGUUGAUUCGUGGAUGUGGAAGAACAGAUUUUCAGGGUGGAAAUUCAGAGCAACUCUACGAAUCAGUACAUUCACAGAUCUUCACAUUGCCCAAUGACACAUUGGUUUACCCAGCUCAUGACUACAAGGGUUUCACAGUGAGCACAGUAGGAGAAGAGAGGCAAUACAAUCCACGCCUAACAAAAGAUAAGGAAGGAUUCAAAGCUAUCAUGGAAAAUUUGAAUCUUGCAUAUCCGAAGAUGAUAGAUGUGGCCGUACCUGCAAAUAUGGUCUGUGGGUUGCAAGAUCUGAUAUCCAAAGUCUGAUGCUCGGCUGCACCUGGGUUCUUAUUGUGUUGUCCAACAUCAAAACAUCUAUUUUCAUCGAAUAACAUAUUGAUGGCUCCUGAGUGUGAAAGUUAAAUAAACAAUAUACAGAGAGGUGAAAAUCCAUGGUAAAUGAGCCAAUCUAUAAAUGAUGUCUCUACGAUCAUGAUUGUAAUCAGUAAAUAUCUUUCUUCGAAAGGCUAGUUUUGGUGCAAACGAGAAAUAUACACAAUGUUAAACACAAAACUGUACUAUGUCCUGUUUCUCUUCAGCACUUUCUCAGAAAGCUUUGUGAACAAUGAAUAGACUGAUGGAUGCUAAAGCACUCGAAGAAAGUUUUCAACAUUUAAAAUUCGUAGAAGAUCUGCUUUUUUCAAGCAACCAGUCAACACACUGAUAAUGAGGUUGAUAAGUUUGAUGGGUCAUCCAAGCAUUCUAAAUUGAGAGAGUUGAUGAGUGUUUCAAUGAACCAACUGUUUGGAAAAAUUCAUCUACCAAGCAAUUGGUUUGACAAGAACGUGAAGAGGCUAACUCUGGUUGUGCAAAGUUAUAAAUAUUUUAGGAGAUAACUAGUCUUUGUAUAUAAUAUUUUAAUAUCAGCAAUUGAUAUUUUGGUGUACAUGAAGUAACGUGGAUAUAAACAGGUAUUUGUUCA